rnacentral:rRNA from 1 species
GUUUAUAGCCAUGCCAUAGACAUACAGAACAAGCCCGAUCCCAUCUGAUCUCAGAAGCUAAGCAGGGUUGGACCUGGUUAGUACUUGGAUGGAGACUACCUAGGAAGACCAGGUGCUGUAGGCG